rnacentral:rRNA from 1 species
AUACGGAGGGUGCAAGCGUUAUCCGGAAUCAUUGGGGUUAAAGGGUCCGCAGGCGGACUAAUAAGUCAGUGGUGGAAUCCUCUCGCUUAACGAGAGAACUGCCAUUGAAACUGUUAGUCUUGAAUUCGGUCGAAGUAGGCGGAAUGUGUCAUGUAGCGGUGAAAUGCAUAGAUAUGACACAGAACACCGAUAGCGAAGGCAGCUUACUAGACCUGGAUUGACGCUCAUGGACGAAAGCGUGGGGAGCGAACAGGAUUAGAUACCCUAGUAGUCC